rnacentral:rRNA from 1 species
GAUGAACGCUGGCGGCGUGCCUAAUACAUGCAAGUCGAGCGAACAGACGAGGAGCUUGCUCCUCUGACGUUAGCGGCGGACGGGUGAGUAACACGUGGAUAACCUACCUAUAAGACUGGGAUAACUUCGGGAAGCCGGAGCUAAUACCGGAUAAUAUAUUGAACCGCAUGGUUCAAUAGUGAAAGACGGUUUUGCUGUCACUUAUAGAUGGAUCCGCGCCGCAUUAGCUAGUUGGUAAGGUAACGGCUUACCAAGGCAACGAUGCGUAGCCGACCUGAGAGGGUGAUCGGCCACACUGGAACUGAAACACGGUCCAGACUCCUACGGGAGGCAGCAGUAGGGAAUCUUCCGCAAAGGGCGAAAGCCUGACGGAGCAACGCCGCGUGAGUGAUGAAGGUCUUCGGAUCGUAAAACUCUGUUAUUAGGGAAGAACAAAUGUGUAAGUAACUAUGCACGUCUUGACGGUACCUAAUCAGAAAGCCACGGCUAACUACGUA